CCUACGGGAGGCAGCAGUGAGGCAUAUUGGUCAAUGGCCGUAAGGCUGAACCAGCCAAGUCGCGUGAAGGAAGAAGGAUCUAUGGUUUGUAAACUUCUUUUAUAGGGGAAUAAAGGUAUCCACGUGUGGAUAUUUGCAUGUACCCUAUGAAUAAGCAUCGGCUAACUCCGUUCCAGCAGCCGCGGUAAUACAGAGGAUGCGCGCGUUAUCCGGAUUUAUUGGGUUUAAAGGGUGCGUAGGUUGUUUUUUAAGUCAGCGGUGAAAGUUUGUGGCUCAACCAUAAAAUUGCCGUUGAAACUGGAAGACGUGAGUGUGUUUGAGGUAGGCGGAAUGCGUGGUGUAGCGGUGAAAUGCAUAGAUAUCACGCAGAACUCCGAUUGCGAAGGCAGCUUACUAAGCCAUAACUGACACUGAAGCACGAAAGCGUGGGGAUCAAACAGGAUUAGAUACCCUGGUAGUC
rnacentral:rRNA from 1 species